UACGUAGGCAGCAAGCGUUGUUCGGAGUUACUGGGCGUAAAGGGUGUGUAGGCGGUUGGUUAAGUGUGGUGUGAAAUCUCCCGGCUUAACUGGGGGGGUGCGCUACAAACUGUCUGACUAGAGUGUGGGAGGGGAGAGUGGAAUUCCUGGUGUAGCGGUGAAAUGCGUAGAUAUCAGGAGGAACACCGGUGGUGUAGACGGCUCUCUGGACCAUAACUGACGCUGAGACACGAAAGCGUGGGUAGCAAACAGG
rnacentral:rRNA from 1 species